GGGAUUGUGGCUCAGCGGUAGAGCACUCACCUAGCAUGAGAAGGGCCCUGGGUUCGAUCCUCAGCACCA
rnacentral:tRNA from 1 species